UUUCUUAUUCCUAUUUUCUUUCUACUCAGAGAGUCCCCUUUAACAUUUCUUGUAUGACUGGUUUAGUGAUCAUGAAUUCCUUUGUUUGGGAAACUCUUUCUCUCUCCUUCUAUUCUAAAUACUAGCCUUGUUGGAAGGAGUAUUUUGGGCUGCAGGUUUUUUCUUUUCAGCACUUUGAACAAUAUCAUGCCACUCCCUCUGGCCUGCAGAAUUUCUGCUGAAAAAUCACCUCAAGGGGUUUCCCUUGUAUGUAACUGUUUGCUUGUCUGUUUUGUCUUGUAGCUUUUAAAAUGCUGUCUUUAUUACUACUUUUGGCAUUUUAAUUAAUAUGUGUCUUGGUGUGGACCUCCUUAGAUUGAUUUUGUUGGGGGCUCUGUGUGCCUCCUGGAUCUGGAUAUUUGUUUCUGUCCCCAGAUUUGGGAGGUUUAUUUCUUCAGAUAAAUUUUCUGCACCUUUUUCUGUUUCCUCUCUCUGUUCAGCUUGAUUGUUUUCUGUUAUUCUGUCAUACAGGUCAUUGAUCCAUUCUUCUUCCUCUAGUCCACUGUUUAUUCCAUCUACUAUAUUAUGAAUUUCACUUACUGCGUUCUUUAUCUCUGAUUGGUUCUUUUUAUGUUUUCUUUCUCUUUGUUAAGGGUCUCACUAAGGUCCUCCACUCUUUUCUCCAAUCCUGUGAGUAUCUUUAUGACCAUUACUUUAAAUUCUUCAUCAGGAAUAUAUACUAUUUUGUUCCAUUUCGUUUAGCUCUCUUGUUAUGAUUUUGUCCUGUUCAUUUGUGGUAUAUUCCUGUAUCUCAUUUUGUCUCUCUGUGCCUGUUUCUGGGUAUUAGGAGAGUCAGCUACCUCUCCUGCUCUUAAAAGUUAUGGUCUUGUGAAAAAGAGGUCCUGUGGUCCCUGCAGUGCAGUUUCCCCUGUUUACCAGAACUGUGUGCUUUAGGGGAUGUCUGCUGUGUAUGUUGUGAGUGCCCUUUUAUAGUGGCUUCAGUCCGGUCAUCUGCAAUGAUGCCUGUUGUGGGCAGGGUUUGGUCCCUGAGUUGUCAGUGGGCCAGUCUGGGGCCGCAUCUGGCUUGAGUUGAGUCAGACCAGGUGUUUGCCAGAGAUGCAGUAGCACCAAACUACUGGGCAGUUUCCUUGUGUUGUCCCAAGAAGCUUCUGUUGGUGGUUAGGGCCUGCAGUCCAACCAAAUAACUGUUCCCAGCCCAUUGCUGGGACCAUAGUCAGAGUGGUGUGUGUGGUUAUCUUCUCCUUUCCCUGGGGCAGGAGUAAUGCUGUUCCCUGUCUGGGCUGCAUGCACAUUGUCAGGCUUGUAAUGCUCACUGCUUUGGAUGGGCUCUGGCCAAGGGUGCCCUGGAGGGAGCAGGUCCACAGGAGAAUGUGGGGGUGCACUUGGGAGGGGACCUGUGGCCACCCCAAAUCCCUGCUGAGGCCUCUGGGUUGGAGGGGGCAGAUCCACAGAAGUGUGGGGAUGGGGUGCAUGUUGUUAUCAAGCCAGCUGGAGAGUGUUGUACUCUCCUGGUUCCUGCAGCUGUCCCUGUAUCUAGGCUGGGGGAUGGAGGAGGGAAAUAGCAUUCACCAGUUCCUUUGUUCUUGAAGGACUCUCCCAAGAAUCCCUGCCCUGCGCCUUCAGAACAUGCUCUGAGAUACUGAACUAUCCUUGUAUCCCUGGAAUAAAUCCUUUUUGAUCUUGCAGGCUGAACUUUGGUCUGCACUGAAGAUGCACUGUCACCAAGUGACAGGGCUGCCUUUGGGUAAAGCCUCAGAGUCCAAAUGGCCAAGUGAUCGUCCACAGGUGAGUUAUCCAUAGAGAUUUAACACUAUUUAUGACUACACUGUGUUUUUGUAAUAGAAUUUGUUAUUACAGCAGUUAAGUUUGAGGACUGAAGGAGCCACUAAUUUGAUAAUAUGUAAUGUAUACAGAGUAAGAUUUAAAGAAAUAUGCAUGCCUAGAAACAAUUAAAUACUUUAUUCAUUAAUGCUUAAUUGUGAUCAAUAACAGCUUAAUCUAACCUUGAUUUUGCCAUGUGGUUUAUGCAGAAUGCCUUUUCAAUUCACCGAUUAUCAACACACUGUGAAAGUCCACUGGGGUCAUAGAAAUGACUUCUCAGUCCAAUGUGCUACCCAUGUCACCGGACUCCUGUCUUUGGGGCUAAUGCACAAUCAACACACCUUCCUACCAUCUCUGCAAUGGCUCACAGGAGGCUGUGAAGAUGUCUCUGUGGAUAUUAGGUUUGGAUUUCCCGAAGCAGAAAAGAUUAACUAACUCUCAUCUUAAUUCUGGUUGUUUUCUACGUAAACUUAUCUAAUGUUCAAUCUGUAACAACUGGUCUCCAGCAACCACAUACACCCAGGGUUAGAAAUAAUAUUUUGUAUUAGGGUUUAGAGGAACUAACCCACUUCAGGGAAGCUCAGGGGUGGAAAGAGCACUUGAAGUCAGAUCAGGCCACUCAUUAGCUGGACGGUCCUGGGCAAGUCAUGUCACACUUCUGAGCCCCAGUAUCCUCAUCUGUAAAAUGAACAUAAACCACCGAGCAAAUACUACAUACUGAAUACGACUAGACUGCUUUGCAGGAAUUUUCAGUUCUCAUCAGGCCCCGAACUAUCUUCCUAACUUGAUCUCUUACCCAUUCCUUCCAGAUGCAUUGUUUCCAGCCUGUAGGCCUUUGCACCUGGCUGCUGUCUCAGCCUAGAAUGCCCUCUGCCUCAUUUAAGCAUAUAAAGAUCCUGCUUUCCCUCCAGGCUCCUCAAUGCCACCUGUUUUAAAAAGCUUUCUUUUUUUUUUUUUUUUUCCUCUUCUAAGCCAAAGGGUCAGCUUUCUCUCCCUUAAAAUUCUAUCGCACGUUUUAUGAAAUCUUGCACAACAUUUAUCACAAGCUGCCUUGUUUAACUGUAAACAGAUUCACUCUCCCCUAUUAGCACACAGUCUCAAAGUGCAUUCCUUUUCUGGCACGAUGCUUGGCACAGUGGCUUGUGUGUAAACAAUGGCCAAGAAAUGCUGGCGGGAGCAAGGACAUCGUUGAUAUUUACUAAUAUAAGCAGCUAAGUGAACUUAGGGGGAGACUCUUGCCCUGCUCCUUUCCUGUGGGUCGCACUAUGGGUCGCCCUCCAUCCCAGGCCCUUGUGUUCUGGAAGGUGGAUGGACCAUGUGAACGUGGAUGACGAGUUUCAUGCCACGUGCCCACGUAAAUUGUUCUGGCAAAAAUAACCUGCUUUGUCCAUGAUCACCAGAGGGUUUGUGAGAACAGUCACAUCAAACACAUUCUUCAGAGGAUGGCCUGUCAACAGAACUAGUAAAUGUGACCUUAAGCAUAAACCCCAGUGACUUGGUAAGUGGAUAGAGGAUACUUCUCUCCAUCACAAGCCACCCAUCAUUCUCCAGGAGGAUAAAAAAACGCUUUCUCUCCUCCACCCUGCCAUCCAGGCCACCUCCAUUAGCCGUGAUGGUUCACAGUGGUCAGUGGGCCUCCUAGUAGCAGGCCACAGCCUCUCCUCUGCUUUUUUGGGUUCCUCACAGAUCAAACCAGCAAAAUAGCUUCAUUCAACAGGUCUAUACAGCUUGGCAUAUGUUUGAGCCUAACUUGUUUUCUUUCACCUAAAACUAUGAAAAGAAGUUAUGUAAAACCUACUAGAAGGCUCUAAUGGGACUCUCUUCUCAACAGCAGGGUUACUUAGUAGUUAUUUCCGUACCAUGAAAAGCUUGGGUACCAUUUUACAUGUAUUGAUAUUAUUAAGAAUUAUCAACCAUUAUUAUCGUAGGAUUGCCACUCAUUCAUUCAGCACCUCUUGAGCACCCGUGUGGUAGGCAACGUGCCAGGAGCCAGGGACGCAACGUCCAACAAGACACAUCAGAUUUCAUGGAGCGGAUACUCUUGCAAGGGAGAAAAGUGGACAUUUACUUAUUAACUUGCUAAAUAAAACAGCAGUAAGUCCAGUGAGGGAAAAGUGCCAAGAUAACACAUCUAGAAUAACCUGAUCUCACUCUUAGUUUGUUUAGGGGUUGAGAGGCCAAGGCUGGUUUUCCCUAAGAACUGGCUUGUGAGUAAGCGCUGAAGGAUAAAGAUGCAAAAAAUAAAUAAAAAUGUACGAUUUAAAAGGAGGGGGAGACAAUUCUAUAGGAGUGGAAAGCAUUAUUAUUAAUAAAAGAACAAAACCAUUUUGCUUGUUUUCUCUACUGUUUUGUCUUUGGAGGCACUGCAUACCCGUUUUGAUUUUUUCCCCCAGGGUAAUUCAGCAGGUUAAUCUUCAAAGAAUGAUCAUCUUUCCUGUGGAUUUCUCAAGGUUUUGCCUCGGACAAGUUUGCUUUCAGAAGCCUGAAACCACAGAGGUGGCAUUGUAUGGAGAACUCCACAGCAUACUUUUGUCUUUUGAGAGACAAUUCUAUGAGGUUAAUAUUUACUGAGCAGCUACUGUGUGCCAGUGAGUCAAGUUCUCUGAGUACGUUUUCUCAUUUAAUCUGUGACAGGUACCAUAGCCAUCACCUCCACCUGACAGAUGAGGAAACUGAGGCACAAAAAGGCCAAUUUGGCCAAGGGCACCCUGCUGGUGAGUGGCAGAGUCCAGAUUGGGAGACCAGCAGUGAGGGACUCAUCUUGACAUCCUGCUGCUGGCCAAAUACACCACGGGCUUCCCCACCUCCCAUGCCUUUGCUCAAGCCCUUUGCCCCACCUGGAAUGCCAACUGUUCCUUCUCUCCUCCCCAUCUCCGCCUGAUAAGUUCUCCUUCUAAGCCCCAUCUGAAACAUGACUUCCAUUGUAAAACCACCCUCCUUUCUCAGAUUAGAAACUGUAAAGAUAAAGGUACCAAGACAAAAAUAAAGGGCAAAAGAAUUUG